UACGGGGGGGGCAAGCGUUGUUCGGAAUUACUGGGCGUCAAGGGCUCGUAGGCGGCCAACUAAGUCAGACGUGAAAUCCCUCGGCUUAACCGGGGAACUGCGUCUGAUACUGGAUGGCUUGAGUUUGGGAGAGGGAUGCGGAAUUCCAGGUGUAGCGGUGAAAUGCGUAGAUAUCUGGAGGAACACCGGUGGCGAAGGCGGCAUCCUGGACCACAACUGACGCUGAGGAGCGAAAGCCAGGGGAGCAAACGGG
rnacentral:rRNA from 1 species